GACGAACGCUGGCGGCGUGCCUAAUACAUGCAAGUUGAGCGCUGAAGGUUGGUACUUGUCCCAACUGGAUGAGCAGCGAACGGGUGAGUAACUCGUGGGGAAUCUGCCUUUGAGCGGGGGACAACAUUUGGAAACGAAUGCUAAUACCGCAUAAAAACUUUAAACACAAGUUUUAAGUUUGAAAGAUGCAAUUGCAUCACUCAAAGAUGAUCCCGCGUUGUAUUAGCUAGUUGGUGAGGUAAAGGCUCACCAAGGCGAUGAUACAUAGCCGACCUGAGAGGGUGAUCGGCCACAUUGGGACUGAGACACGGCCCAAACUCCUACGGGAGGCAGCAGUAGGGAAUCCUCGGCAAUGGACGAAAGUCUGACCGAGCAACGCCGCGUGAGUGAAGAAGGUUUUCGGAUCGUAAAACUCUGUUGGUAGAGAAGAACGUUGGUGAGAGUGGAAAGCUCAUCAAGUGACGGUAACUACCCAGAAAGGGACGGCUAACUACGUG
rnacentral:rRNA from 1 species